rnacentral:tRNA from 1 species
GGAGUGGUACUCAAGUUGGUGAAGAGGACAGUUUGCUAAACUGUUAGAAUCCUUUUCGGGUUGCGUGGGUUCGAGUCCCACCCGCUCCGCCA